rnacentral:lncRNA from 1 species
CUUGCAUGCAUGUCUCUGUUCUGCAAUUGAUGAUUUUGCCCGGUGUCCUGGGCCUGAAACACAGUUUCAUCAUUCCUGAUCCACACCUGCCCCUGGCCCCUGGCCCCAUACUGCUGUCUCGAGACAUGACCGGUAGUCCCAAACAUCCUAAGACGUUUCUCUUCCAGAGGCACCAAUGGUCUCAUCAGCAGGGAGCACGUUAACCCACCAAUGGAGAGCACUGGCACUGGCUUCAGCAGAAUCAUAAGGGUUCAGCCCGGCUCCCCAUGCAUUCACGCAACUCAUGUGGCUGAGCCUCUAAGGCGAGAUUCCCCACCACACAAGACCGUCAUCACCAUUCAGCCAAACUGAGUACCGGACUCUUAGGCCCUGGCCCAUCACUGCCUUGCCCUGAACUCCCUCAUCUCCCCAGGAAAGACUUACAACCCAGUCAGGCCGUGGACUCUUUCCUCAUUUGCUCUUUCUGCAUAGAACAGUCGACACUCUGGGGCAUUGCGCAGCACCGCCAAUGCGGUUGGGCAGCGGGCUCAAGCCCUCUCUGCUGGCUUCCAGGCCCACGUGUCCCUGGAGUAUUGAUGUCCAGACACAGAAGUAAACCUCAGGUGUCCAGCAGGCUGCCAUGUUCCGGGAAACGAAGGUCGCACAACCAAGCAGGGCCCUGAAGACUGACACACAAACACACACACACACAUUCACACACACACACACACACACGCACGCACACACACACACACAUACACCGGAUCUUGUAUUCUAACUUUUAAUGAAACUUCCAUGGCUCAUGGAGCCAGUCAUCUGACUGAUGUGUCAGAACCACACCGUUGUCCUCAGCGGUCUCCUAUGCAGGAGAACCGUGUUGACCACUGGCAUCCAUCUGUAUGUCUGUGACGGCUGUGGACAAGUGUGCUGUCUCUUCAUAUUCAUCUCAGCAUCUUGAAGCUCCCUGGCAAGGAAGAAAACACCCACGGCCUCAGAUCAUCAUGGAUGACAUGUGGCCCAAUGUCCUCAAGUACUACGAGAGGAAGAAGGCGCCAGGAGAGGUUGAUAUUCUGGACUCAGCCCACUCAUCCAUCCACUCUGCACUGAGCAAAAUGACUAAAAGGAAGAACUCACUACAAAAGAAAGAAUCAGAAACAGAACUCUCUACCACAGAGUUACAGAAUAUGGAUUACAAUUCGAUGUCAGAAAGCCAAUGCAGAAGAACAAUUAUAAAGCAACUGGUGUAUCUGGAAAACAACAUAAUAGAUUCAAGAGACUUUAUGACUGCAGAAUUUAGAUCUAUUCAGGCCAUAAUAAAAACUCAAUUAAAUGAGAUGCAAUCCAUACUGGAGGUCCUAUCAAUGAGGGUUAAUAAGGUGAAAGAAAGAGUGCACGAACCUGAAGACUCCUAACUCUAGGAAGCGAA